CUUCUACAAUGGUUUAUUGGCAUCUGACUGGAGAAUUGCACCACCAACUGUUGACCUAAAUGAACCACCUCCCAGUAUUCAAACAAGUCCUCCUAACCAUAUGAUGAUAGAGGUUGUUUAUUCCUACCUUCUAAUACAACCCAUAGGAGCAUUAUAUUAAAUUAUCGCCCA